UUUAAUACAAUGGAGAGUUUGAUCCUGGCUCAGGAUGAACGCUAGCGGCAGGCCUAACACAUGCAAGUCGAGGGGCA
rnacentral:rRNA from 1 species